rnacentral:rRNA from 1 species
AUUGAACGCUGGCGGCAGGCCUAACACAUGCAAGUCGAGCGGAUGAGAAGAGCUUGCUCUUCGAUUCAGCGGCGGACGGGUGAGUAAUGCCUAGGAAUCUGCCUGGUAGUGGGGGACAACGUUUCGAAAGGAACGCUAAUACCGCAUACGUCCUACGGGAGAAAGCAGGGGACCUUCGGGCCUUGCGCUAUCAGAUGAGCCUAGGUCGGAUUAGCUAGUUGGUGAGGUAAUGGCUCACCAAGGCGACGAUCCGUAACUGGUCUGAGAGGAUGAUCAGUCACACUGGAACUGAGACACGGUCCAGACUCCUACGGGAGGCAGCAGUGGGGAAUAUUGGACAAUGGGCGAAAGCCUGAUUCAGCCAUGCCGCGUGUGUGAAGAAGGUCUUCGGAUUGUAAAGCACUUUAAGUUGGGAGGAAGGGCAGUAAGUUAAUACCUUGCUGUUUUGACGUUACCGACAGAAUAAGCACCGGCUAACUCUGUGCCAGCCGCCGCAGUAAUAC